GACGAACGCUGGCGGCGUGCUUAACACAUGCAAGUCGAACGGAAAGGCCCUGCUUUUGUGGGGUGCUCGAGUGGCAAACGGGUGUGUAACACGUGUGUAACCUGCCCUUGACUUUGGGAUAACUUCAGGAAACUGGGGCUAAUACCGGAUAGGAGCCUCUGCUGCGUGGUGGGGGUUGGAGAGUUUCGGCGGUUGGGGAUGGACUCGGGGUUUCUCAGCUUGUGGGUGGGGGAGUGGCUUACCAAGGCUUUGGCGGGUAGCCGGCCUGAGAGGGGCACCGCCCACAUUGGGACUGGGAUACGGCCCAGAUUCCUACGGGGGGCAGCGGGGGGGAAUAUUGCACAAUGGGCGGAAGCCUGAUGAAGCAACGCCGCGUGCGGGAUGACGGCCUUCGGGUUGUAAACCGCUUUCGCCUGUGACGAAGCUUGAGUGACGGUAAUGGGUAAAGAAGCACCGGCUAACUACGUG
rnacentral:rRNA from 1 species